CCCCCCCCCAUUUUUAUAGUUUUCGUACCACUGCUAUUUUAGCCUAUUGCCUGUUGUGUGGCUGAAUUAAUUGGAAAUGCAAAGUCCUUUAAAUUAGGCAAUAAGGAUGACAGAAUAUCAGGCAGAAACUUGAAAUGAAAAUGGAGUGAAUCCAUUGAUUAAAGUUCCCUUCAAUACGACUGGCUAGCUGUGUGUGUCUUAUAACAAUUCAAAUCUCAAACUCCAUUUUUCACAUUUCUUUAUAAAUCUUAAUCUAAAUCUGGAUCAUCAUGCCUGUCUCAUUUAUCGUGUUAUUACACAUCUGGUGGCACAUUUUUAACUUGCUUCUUAUAAAUGUGAUGGUCUCCCCGCAAGUCGAACUUCCUGUACCGACCUGUCGGGGGAGUCGGGGAUCUUAGCCACCUUAGAAACCUCUUGCCAUUUGGAUAAUUUAAUUCUAAUUUCCAUUUUCUAAAGUGUAGCCUUUGUCCAUGUGAUAAAUGUGAGGUUCGUACUGGAGAGAUCUAUGGAACACAUCGUAGAAAAACACUAACCAAAUGGCACAGAUGGUUGAUUUUUAAAUGAAAUUAAAUGGUUAACUGGUAAUGCAGUUUUAGGAUUGUUUUGGUUUUUAGCAGACUUACAUUUCAAGCUUAACUUUACUGAAAGUUGCUACUGAGUUUGUUUAUCCGUUCCAGAAAAUAUUUUUCUGUAUGUUUUGUAUUUACUCAAAAUUGCCACCUCUAUUUAUAUUUUUUAGGAUUUUGACUAUUAUUCCAGGCUGUAAAGUGGGACUAUUUCAGUGCUUUGUAAGAGUUGUGUGUACACAUGUAGAAGCAGGAAGUACGAAAAGUACGCUCCAUCAUGUAAGUUGGUAGGAAGAGACAGACAACGGUGCCAGUGACCUUCUGUCUCGAUACUGCAGAAUUUUGGGAACAAUUCUUUGUGUUACUUUAUGUGGCUUUUUAUGGGCUUUGACCCACUGUUCCAUGUGUAUACAUAAAUUAGUGUUCCUUUGCUUUGCUUUCAUUUAUGAGCUCUAUUGUGUAAAGAUUUCGUGCUGUUGUGAUGUGUCGUGUGCCUUCUGCGCUGUAAGACUGAUGCUGUUUUUGAUUAGGGCUGUCAGUGCCACACUUUUACUGUGAAACGUCUGUUUCAGUAACAAUUUUAAAAUGUUCAUUGAUGUUUUGAAAACACAUCUCAGUUAUUGUACAUAAUAACAAGAAUAGAAUGGUGCUUCCGAUCACUUGCGAUGUUGACGUACGGCAUCCAUCUGUUUACAUUAUCAUAUAUCUAUUUCCUAGUUAGAGCAGAACAAUAAAGCGUAAAAGUGAUCCAUGUGGGCAGAGGUUUGCAGAUGCUGGUGCAUCCAAUUUGUAUUUGUACAUUUGAGGUUUAUACCAGCAAACUUUUAAUUAUAAAUCUUGAAACUUAAAGAUUUUUUUCCUCCCCCAUAAUACAUUCAAACAUCCUUAGAUUGUCUUGAACAAAUCCUUCUCUUUUUUGGUAUUCAUUAUUGCAUCACAUGUUUGAGAGAAUGAAUUUUUUUGGCAUGAUACAUCACUGCAUCAAACCAUGUCCUCCACCUAAUUAAUACUAUUUCAUUGUCAGUGCCAUGUUGGGAUAUGUUUCUUUUAUUUUAUUUUAUUUACCUGUUUACCUUUCCCAAAAUUUUCAGCUUUCUUUAUGAUGAUCAAAUGCGCACAUGAAUGACAAGAGACUGUUCUGUCAUACAAUUUAUUGUAACUGCUCCCGACCCACAACAGAAGAAUGCCUGUCGGCUGCUUUCGUCAGUUGUGUACUGAACAGGUGAGUCACGUGGUUAUUACAUGUAUUAAGUAACAGAAUCUUAAAUGUAAAUUAUUACUGCAUUUAUUUCAUUUUGCACAUGAAAGUGGCCAGAUUAUUAUGGGUGGAAGAAAGAAGUGAGUUCAUUGUCUCUGGUAUUCUAGUUUACAUUAAUACAUUUCCAGAUUAUUUUGUGGAAUAAUGGGAAUUCUUUAUAAUAGUUUUUGUGCAGUUUAUCGUGCUGUCAGGUUUUAAUUAUUUUACAGAAAUGAUUCCUGCAGCCUAGAGAUGCAACUUAUUUUAAUGAAUUACAUAUUUCUUUGUCGGGUGUUGAGGAGCUACAGUUUACCAUUACUUGAAUCUUCAUAUUAGGACAAAUGACUGCAAUUUUAGAAUACAAACUGUUUGUACAUGACCCAUGAAACCCACCACGAGGUGUCUGUGAACUAGUAGUAAGCGUUUUUACCGGUCGAGUUACAGAUGGCUGUAGGGUGACGUCAUAUAAUUUUUAACCAAUCGGGUCGUAUUCAUAUGUCGGCGCGCUGCGGAAGAUUUUGUGUCAUUGCGUGUUGUUUAUUACAGUGAAUAAUUGAACAGAAAAUGCAAAUGUUUCACAUUAUCAUGUCUGAAAAAGAAGCUGAGUUUCGUUUAGAUACGUUACUGCAAGCAUUUUCGUUAAGUGAGCCUUAUACUUUUUGAAGAAUGCACGAAGAAAAUUGUGCACCAUUGCCGUACGGUGGGAAAUUGUUCAAGAGAGAGCCCCUCCAAGAGUAAGCAGACAGAUGUUGUAAACAGAGCUAGAGAAGUCUGUGUUCGGACUCCACUCCAGACUGCAAGACAUCGCGGUUGGGUCACAGCCGUAUCUGCUUCCAGGGACACAUGAAACACGGCGAAGAUGAGUGAUACCUCAAACGCAUGCUGCGAGCCGCCGUGGCGCUGGAGACACUGGAGCACCUGCCUCUUCGUGGGGCUGAGCGCGAGGCACCGCACCGGAGUUGAAGCUCUCAGGAGUUCCCGGGACCACGAGCCAUUCGU